rnacentral:tRNA from 1 species
UCCCUGGUGGCUCAGAUGGUAGAGCGUCUGCCUGCAAUGCAGAAGACCUGGGUUCGAUCCCUGGGUCGGGAA